GUUGUAAGGAUAAGAAUUUUAAUAAACAUGUGGGUCGGCAGUAACUCGUUCACGCUACGCGCCAGCUUUCAUCAAGGAUAAAAACUCGGGGUGACGGAGAGUAGGAGAGAGAGAGAAAGAGAAAGAGAGAGAGAGAGAGAGAGAGAGAGAGAGAGAGAGAGAGAGAAGAGAAUUAUAUGUGUCUUUUCUGAACACAGCGCAUUAUCACCGAUAGCUCAGUGAACAGCAAUUCAUUAUUUAAUGAUUUUUCAGUGGAAACUCAGGAUGAGAGAGACAAAGAGCAGGAGAGAAAGAGAGAAGGAAUUAUAUAUGUGAUCUAAACCAGCGAAACAUGAAUGAUGACAGUAUAUUACCAUCGAUAGCUCAGUGGAGAUAUUAUUAUUUAAUGAUUCUUUAGGCAAGUCGCACAUUACGUAUCUGUAUCACAUUUUCAUGAAGUAAUUUAUAAUUAAAAAUGUAUCCUGCAAAUAUUUUAA